CCAAUAGCGUAUAUUAAAGUUGUUGCAGUUAAAAAGCUCGUAGUUGAAUUUCGGGAUCAUCGGGUCGGUCGUGCCUCUGGUAUGUACUUGCUCCGAUGGCCCCUCCUUCUUGAAGAACCGUAAUGCCAUUAAUUUGGUGUUGCGGGGAAACAGGACUGUUACUUUGAAAAAAUUAGAGUGUUUAAAGCAGGCAAUCGCUUGAAUACAUUAGCAUGGAAUAAUGAAAUAGGACGUUCGAUCCUAUUUUGUUGGUUUCUAGGAUUGACGUAAUGAUUAAUAGGGAUAGUUGGGGGCAUUAGUAUUCAAUUGUCAGAGGUGAAAUUCUUGGAUUUAUUGAAGACUGACUACUGCGAAAGCAUUUGCCAAGGAUGUUUUCAUUAAUCAAGAACGAAAGUUAGGGGAUCGAAGACGAUCAGAUACCGUCGUAGUCUUAACCAUAAACUAUGCCGACUAGGGAUCGGAUGAUGUUAAUUUUUCAAUGACUCAUUCGGCGCCUUACG
rnacentral:rRNA from 1 species